rnacentral:rRNA from 1 species
UGAGCAAUCUGCCCUUCUCAUCGGAAUAAGCGUUGGAAACGACGUCUAAUGCCGAAUACGACCUCCUUUCGCAUGAUCGGAGGUGGAAAGCUCCGGCGGUGAAGGAUGAGCUCGCGGCUUAUCAGCUUGUUGGUGAGGUAAUAGCUCACCAAGGCGAUGACGGGUAGCCGGCCUGAGAGGGUGACCGGCCACACUGGGACUGAGACGCGGCCCAGACUCUACGGGAGG